UUGGAGGGCAGUCUGGUGCAGCAUAGGGAAAUUCCAGCUCCAAUAGCGUAUAUUAAAGUUGUUGCAGUUAAAAAGCUCGUAGUUGAAUUUCGGGAUCAGAGUGUCGGUCGUGCCUCGGUACGCACUGGUAUUAUUGGUUCCUACCCCUCUGAAGAACCGCGAUGUCAUUAAUUUGGUGUCGUGGGGAAUCAGGACUGUUACUUUGAAAAAAUUAGAGUGUUUAAAGCAGGCUUACGCUUGAGUACAUUAGCGUGGAAUAAUGAAAUAGGACGUUUGAUUCCAUUUUGUUGGUUUCUAGGAUUGACGUAAUGAUUAAUAGGGAUAGUUGGGGGCAUUAGUAUUCAAUUGUCAGAGGUGAAAUUCUUGGAUUUAUUGAAGACUAACUACUGCGAAAGCAUUUGCCAAGGAUGUUUUCAUUAAUCAAGAACGAAAGUUAGGGGAUCGAAGACGAUCAGAUACCGUCGUAGUCUUAACCAUAAACUAUGCCGACUAGGGAUCGGAUGAUGUUAAUUUUUUAAUGACUCAUUCGGCGCCUUACGGGAAAC
rnacentral:rRNA from 1 species